rnacentral:lncRNA from 1 species
CAGCUUCUUCUUUUACUGUCUCUGUAGGAUCAACUUCAGUAACUAUAGGUUCGUCUUUUACCGUUUCUGUUGCCUCGAAUUCAGUAGCUGCAGGUUCAUCUUUUACCAUUUCUGUAGGCUCAACUACAGUUGUCACAGGUUCUUCUUUUACGGUUUCUGUAGCUUCAACUUCAGUAGCCACAGAUUCUUCUUUUACUGUUUCUGUAGCUUCAACUUCAGUAGCCACUGGUUCUUCUUUUACUGUUUCUGUAGCUUCAACUUCAGUAGCCACUGGUUCUUCUUUUACUGUUUCUGUAGCUUCAACUUCAGUAGCUGCAGGUUCGUCUUUUACCGUUUCUGUAGCCUCAACUUCAGUUGCCACAGGUUCUUCUUUUACCGUUUCUGUAGGCUCAACUUCAGUAGCCACGGGUUCUUCUUUUACUGUUUCUGUAGCUUCAGCUUCAGUAGCUAGAGGUUCUUCUUUUACCGUUUCUGUAGGAUCAACUUCAGUAACCACAGGUUCGUCUUUUACGGUUUCUGUAACCUUAACUUCAGUAGCUGCAGGUUCUUCUUUUACUGUUUCCGUAGCCUCAACUUCAGUAGCCACAAGUUCUUCUUUUAGUGUUUCUGUAGCCUCAACUUCAGUAACCACGGGUUCUUCUUUUACUAUCUCUGCA